GUGUAAGACUUCUUGAGAGGUUAGGCUUGCCCAGGAGGAAACACAGCUACAGGAGGAGAAGUAAUGCAGGGCAGUGAAGACCUGGAAAAGCAAAUAUGGCUCUUUACAAGGCACUGAAAAUCCUCUGCUGUUCAAGCCAUGGAGAAGUGGACCACUUCAGACCUGCUUCAGCCUGGAGAUGGACCACAAUUAGGACAUGCAACAGACUUGUCCUCUGCAGAUCAACUGGGAACCAACAUGAUUCUCCAUCAGGCUAUGCAUACAAAAAAAACUAUCUUAUGUGUAAUCAAAAUGAGUAGACUCUAAGAUGAGAAGCCCACAUGUUAACAAGCCAGUUUUCCCCAGUUUUCACUACUCAUCAGCUUUUGCUAAACUAAGAACAAACACAGCAGUGCUGAGCAACUCCUGGCCACAAACUCAGGAAAAGUCACCAACCUCCUGGCCUUGCUGCACUUCCAUCCUUUCUCAGAUGGUGCAACAUCAAACCUUCUGCAUAGGUGCAUGCUGAAACCAUUAUAAAUAAGGGAUUUUUUUUAUGCAGGGGGUCAGAUGUAUGUGCAAUAGGAAGUCUGAGCUGCUGGGUAUUGGCACCAUUUACAUCAUCCCUUUCCAAGGCAAACAUCAGGUUCCUCACUGGGCCACAGAGCAAAGGCUGGCAGCCACUUGGGAUGCUCAGCUCUGCAUCCCUCCUCCAUGGAUCACAGAGGUAUGAGAAGAGAAGGUUGAGAUUAAAAAGGGCCAGCCAGCCAGCACUUUGUAUUCCACGGAUUGCUGAAACAUUGGCUGGAUUGGAUGGCCCCAGGUAGGUGAGAGCACAGUGCUCUCCCUCCAAAUCUGCACUCCCACAGGCGCAAAUCAGCUCCUGGGGAGUCGCUUGCCUUUCAUCAGGGAAGGAGUUGGCUUGUACAUGUCCCAAGCUACUCCUGAAUGAAAUUCCAAGAAAAAGUGUUUGUUUACAGAGUGACAGAGUUACUAAACCAGCCAAUCAACCUGCCUGAAGUAUUGUGUUAGUGCAACAUACUUGUGCAAGCCAAGUAUUAAUAAGAGGGCUUACGUUUCUGUUGGAUGUGCCAUGAGUCAAGCAUCCCAUGCAGAUGGCUCCUAAACAAACUCCAUGCGCUGCAGGAAAUUCAAAGUGAUUGAUAAACCCUUCUCCCCUCAGGUAGAGACAAGACUUACAUAAUGCCUAAUAAAUCCCCCAGGAGAAGGUGGUCUGUAAUUCACCUUUGGGAGGUUUGUAUGUGCGGAUAAUGGACUGUUUGGCUCCACUGGGCUCACGCCAUGCCCUGGCCAGGCCCUGCAGCAUUUUAUUGCGGCUGCCCCUCAGCACUUAGGGCCUCUGUUUCUCUGACAGGGUGGUGCAGUCACACUCUUCUUGUGCCUGGCUGUCCAGCCAGACCAGUUUGCAAGUAGUCAAAAAAACAGGUUUUGUCUGACAGGAGAUCCUCUGUUCAGCACAAGCCAGAAGUAGCUAGCAGGGAUUGGCCUGAAAGCUUCCUGCCCCAAAGGGAUAGUCCUCCCAGCUCAGCCAUUUGCAGCAGGGGCAGUGGGACCAAGGCAGCCACUCCACCCAGGGAAAAAGCAGUCUCUUCGGCCUCUCCUGCAAAGCAGAGCUGAUAUUCUGGCUUGUCUCAUACCUUCCUGCACUAGCAGCCUGUACUAUCCUCAUCCCCAUGGCUCAACUGCAUCGCACACCACCUUAAGCAAAGGAAGCUCCAGCCACAACUUGGCUGCACAAUUGAGAGCUAGAAGUACCCUCUCUUCUUUAUCUUUCUUUCCUUUUUUUUUUUUUUUC